UGAAAAUCAUUGUCUCAAUAACUAGCCAUUACAAAAAUAAUUUGCCGUAAUGGAAAGGGAAGGAAAACUUGAUAUAAUGCAUGCAUAUGGUUUGAAGCAGAGGCAGUUGUUCCAUCUUGUUC